UCAGACGAUGCGUCAUGCAUAUCAAUAAGCGGAGGAAAAGAAACUAACUAGGAUUCCCUCAGUAACGGCGAGUGAAGCGGGAAGAGCUCAAAUUUGAAAUCUUCAAGGUUCUACCUUGACGAAUUGUAGUUUAAAGAAGUGUUUUCUGUUGGAGUUUUGGUAAAAGUUCUUUGGAAUAGGACAUCAUAGAGGGUGAGAAUCCCGUAUUUGACCAUUAUUUCCAGCUUUGUGAUACACUUUCAAAGAGUUGGAUUGUUUGGGAAUGCAGUCCAAAAUGGGUGGUAAAUUUCAUCUAAAGCUAAAUAUUGGCGAGAGACCGAUAGCGAACAAGUACCGUGAGGGAAAGAUGAAAAGAACUUUGAAAAGAGAGUUAAACAGUACGUGAAAUUGUCAAAAGGGAAGCGUUUGACACCAGUGUUGUUUCUCGAAAAUCAAUUAAAAAAGGCAGGAUUUUGUGUUGUAUUGACUUUAUCAGCUUUCUGCACUCUUUUCUUGUCUUUUUUUAAUGCACUUUUCGUUUAACAAGUCAACAUCAAUUUCUUUUGUUGUAAAAGGGUCAUUGGAAGGUGGCUUGCUUUUCGGAGAAAGUGUUUAUAGCCUUUGGCCCUCUGCAAUCGGAGAGAUUGAGGUCUGCAGCGUAGAUCCUUCGGGGUUAGAUACAUUUGUGCUAAGUUAUAGCCUUUCAUAGACAACUUGUUGACUAUGAUCAGUCAUGUAGCUUACUCGCUUAUGCUAUUUUACCUACGCUUAGGAUGUUGAUCUACAGAGCGAGAGU
rnacentral:rRNA from 1 species